rnacentral:rRNA from 1 species
GAUGAACGCUGGCGGCGUGCCUAAUACAUGCAAGUCGAGCGAACAGACGAGGAGCUUGCUCCUCUGACGUUAGCGGCGGACGGGUGAGUAACACGUGGAUAACCUACCUAUAAGACUGGGAUAACUUCGGGAAACCGGAGCUAAUACCGGAUAAUAUAUUGAACCGCAUGGUUCAAUAGUGAAAGACGGUUUUGCUGUCACUUAUAGAUGGAUCCGCGCCGCAUUAGCUAGUUGGUAAGGUAACGGCUUACCAGGGCAACGAUGCGUAGCCGACCUGAGAGGGUGAUCGGCCACACUGGAACUGAGACACGGUCCAGACUCCUACGGGAGGCAGCAGUAGGGAAUCUUCCGCAAUGGGCGAAAGCUUGACGGAGCAACGCCGCGUGAGUGAUGAAGGUCUUCGGAUCGUAAAACUCUGUUAUUAGGGAAGAACAAAUGUGUAAGUAACUAUGCACGUCUUGACGGUACCUAAUCAGAAAGCCACGGCUAACUACGUG